rnacentral:rRNA from 1 species
UACAGAGGUCUCAAGCGUUGUUCGGAUUCAUUGGGCGUAAAGGGUGCGUAGGCGGCGCGGUAAGUCGGGUGUGAAAUCUCGGGGCUUAACUCCGAAACUGCAUUCGAUACUGCCGUGCUUGGAGGACUGGAGAGGAGACUGGAAUUUACGGUGUAGCGGUGAAAUGCGUAGAUAUCGUAAGGAAGACCAGUGGCGAAGGCGGGUCUCUGGACAGUUCCUGACGCUGAGGCACGGAAGGUCAGGGGGAGCAAACGGG